UGCUGCUUUGCUGACGAGUGGCGGACGGGUGAGUAAUGUCUGGGAAACUGCCUGAUGGAGGGGGAUAACUACUGGAAACGGUGGCUAAUACCGCAUAACGUCGCAAGACCAAAGAGGGGGACCUUCGGGCCUCUUGCCAUCAGAUGUGCCCAGAUGGGAUUAGCUUGUUGGUGAGGUAACGGCUCACCAAGGCGACGAUCCCUAGCUGGUCUGAGAGGAUGACCAGCCACACUGGAACUGAGACACGGUCCAGACUCCUACGGGAGGCAGCAGUGGGGAAUAUUGCACAAUGGGCGCAAGCCUGAUGCAGCCAUGCCGCGUGUAUGAAGAAGGCCUUCGGGUUGUAAAGUACUUUCAGCGGGGAGGAAGGUGUUGCGGUUAAUAACCGCAGCAAUUGACGUUACCCGCAGAAGAAGCACCGGCUAACUCCGUGCCAGCAGCCGCGGUAAUACGGAGGGUGCAAGCGUUAAUCGGAAUUACUGGGCGUAAAGCGCACGCAGGCGGUCUGUCAAGUCGGAUGUGAAAUCCCCGGGCUCAACCUGGGAACUGCAUUCGAAACUGGCAGGCUUGAGUCUUGUAGAGGGGGGUAGAAUUCCAGGUGUAGCGGUGAAAUGCGUAGAGAUCUGGAGGAAUACCGGUGGCGAAGGCGGCCCCCUGGACAAAGACUGACGCUCAGGUGCGAAAGCGUGGGGAGCAAACAGGAUUAGAUACCCUGGUAGUCCACGCCGUAAACGAUGUCUACUUGGAGGUUGUGCCCUUGAGGCGUGGCUUCCGGAGCUAACGCGUUAAGUAGACCGCCUGGGGAGUACGGCCCGCAAGUUUAAACUCAAAUGAAUUGACGGGGGC
rnacentral:rRNA from 1 species